AUAGUUUCCUUUACAUAUACAUGAAUUUCAUCUGAGUUAUCCUACUCUAUAUUAAGCAUCAACAGAUAUUUUGAUAUUUAACCUUGAAAGUUGCAUUGAGGCUAUUGAGAAAUACCCCGAAGAAUAAUUGGUGAAAUAGCUUAACUAUUUAUUUAUGCAAAUAUUUUCUUAUAUCUGCCCUAAAUUCACAAUUGCAUGAACAACCUAUAUGCAGAAGAUGAGGUGAAAUUUCUUUGAUUCGGUGUUUCAUCCCAUGUAAUCACAAACAUUGCAUACCAAUAUUAUUUAAAUCUAAAAUCAAACUUUAGCAUAUAUUAACAAAAUAAAUAGACUUGUUCAUCAAUAUGUCUGAUAUACAUAACUAUACAUAACUCUGUUAUGUAUCAGAUUUGAAAUAAUUAUAGCUUUGUUAUUCAUAUGCAUAGCAUAUUUAUGUAUCACCAAUGAAAUAAAACAUGUUUGCAUAAGAUAAUCAAAUCAUAUACAUAUCCAUGUUAUGUAUUAGAUUUGAUUUAACUUCAGUUAUUACAUUCUUAUACAUGACAUGGUUGUGUAUAAUGCGUGAAAGAACAUCAUGGCAAUAAUGAACUCCAAUCCUUGAGAAAAUACGUAAAGUCCUCCUCAAACUUGUCUCCAAAACUCACUUUAACACUAUGACUUUACGAGCAUUUAAAUUCCCCCUUAAACAACUUUAAAGUAAAUUAAAGUCUAUCUUAUACAUACAACAUCAAUUUCAUUGUUGAGAGGUGAUACACACGCGCGCCACAUAGGCUCCACCUCAAUGAUACAUGAACGACACGUCAGAUAAUGAAGAAAUUCAAUUUUCAUUUUUUUUUUCUUUCUCCCAUAUCAUUAUUUAUUCUUAUUUUCACUAUUCAUCUAUCUUCUUUAUUAUCCAUCUUCUUCACCAUCUUUGUAAAUACAAAGGUAAAAUUUAACCUUGAUAAAGAAAAUCUAAUACUUACAAUAUAAUUUCUAUUAAUUUGACAAGAUGUGUGUAAAAUAAAGAAAGGGUGAAAUACAAAUAUCAACUUGAAAUUGGAGUUGAUGGUACUUUUUCUCAUACACUUGCAAUGUCACUCAAUUUUCUUGUUUUCUUUCUGACUUACUAUUUUCAUAUUUCUAUUUCUUCCCUUUAAAGCUAAAUCUUAAAAAUCAUGUUUUUUGAGUUAGUGAAGAACACUCGGCGACUGCUGCAAUGGCGAUUGUUGGAGUUUGACACAAAACACGGCAUGCUGAAUAUUUUCAAAUCCUUCACGGAGGUUGGCCUUAAAAGUAAAAAGUACAAACUUUAUAAAAAGAAAGAAAAUAAAAGAAAAAGAAAGUCAAGAAAAAGAACUUGAUUGGCAUUUUGUCCACGGUCUCACGAUGGCUGAUCGCUCGCGGAGUUCUUGGCAAUGACCAAGGAGGUACAAAUGGGGCUGAUGUGAGGUCCGUGGUCAUUGAGCUUUGUUGGAUCGUCAUCCAUGUUUUCAAGGAGGUUCCGUCGAUAGUGAAAAAGAAAGAAGAUUUGAGAGGAAGAAGGGACGGAACAGGUUAUUGGAAAGAAGACAAAGUGGGGCCCACUUGAUUUUUUCUCUUUAAUUUUUGCUAUUUACGCACUGAGAAUUAUCUGAUUUGUCGUGUCACCUAUUAAGAUGGUAAUUAAUUCACUUUGAAGUUAUUUAGCCAGGGGAGGGGGGAUAUAAAUACUCGUAGAGUUACAAUGCUAAAGUGAGUUUUGGAUAUAAGUUUGAG
rnacentral:lncRNA from 1 species